rnacentral:lncRNA from 1 species
GAGGCAGGGGGAUUCUGAUCCCGAUCUUGCCCUGCAUGCCCACCCACCACCCCUGCCAGCCCCGAGAUGAGAACCAGAAAAGCGAAGGGACUACCAAGAUUACACAGCUGUUAGCGGCAGAACUGAGAUUCCACCUGGAUCUUCUGGCCACGAUGCCAACUCUUUGCCCAUCAAACCAGAGUGUCCCCAGGAUUCCCGAGGGCAGGGAGCUGGACACAGCUACUGUGGACCCAGGGAAGCGCUGACCAUCAGGAUUUGGCAGUGAGAGCCUCCGUCCAUCUCCCACCCUCCGGACUUCGAUGUUGGGGCCAGCAGACAGGAGCCAUCAGACACGUUCUUUUCGGGCUGCCUCUUCCUCCGUCCAGCUCAGGUGACUGGUGGCCCCUCUGGGCCCAACCAGUCUGGGCAAGAAGCAGCCCCAGCUCUGUCAGAUGCCCAGGGUGGCCCACCCCCCUUCCUGGAGCCCAGCCAGCCCUCUCAGCUGGACUCUUGACCCUCUGUUUUCCUGUUUCUCUGCAGGAAAUGAGCUCUGAAAGACAAGCGCUGAGUGGGGUCCAGACAACAUAUCCAUGCUCAGGGCAGGAAGUAGGAAGGCGGGCAGGGAGGUCCCAGGCAUAUCUGUCCCCUUCUCUCAGAAAAACAAUGCUUUUAUACAAAUCUCCCCAGCAGACUUCUGCUUGUUCUCUUUGGAAAGAACCAGAACAUGUGGCCAUUCCUAGCUGCAAGAAAGUCUGGGAAAAAGGGAGCAAGAUUAUCAUGAUUGGCUUAGACCAGGGUCAGCAACCUUCCGUGAAGGCCUAGAUGGUAAAGACUUGAGGCUUGGUGGCC